CGAGUGAACCGGGAAAAGCUCAAAUUUGUAAUCUGGCUGUCUUCGAUAGUCCGAGUUGUAAUCUAUAGACGUGUUUUCCGUGCUGGACCGUAUCUAAGUCCCUUGGAACAGGGUAUCAAAGAGGGUGACAAUCCCGUGCUUGAUACGACCACCAGUGCUCUGUGAUACACGCUCUACGAGUCGAGUUGUUUGGGAAUGCAGCUCAAAAUGGGUGGUAAAUUCCAUCUAAAGCUAAAUAUUGGCGAGAGACCGAUAGCGAACAAGUACCGUGAGGGAAAGAUGAAAAGCACUUUGGAAAGAGAGUUAAACAGUACGUGAAAUUGUUGAAAGGGAAACGAUUGAAGUCAGUCGUGUUCUUUGGAUUCAGCUAGUUCUUCUAGUCUACUUCCAUUGAACGGGUCAACAUCAGUUUUGUCCGGUGGAUAAAGAUAGUAGGAAUGUAGCUCCCCCGGGAGUGUUAUAGACUAUUAUUGCAUACACUGGGUGAGACUGAGGACUGCAGCUCGCCUUUUGGCCGGUCUUCGGACACGUUCGAGCUUAGGAUGUUGACAUAAUGGCUU
rnacentral:rRNA from 1 species